rnacentral:rRNA from 1 species
AAUGAACGCUGGCGGCAGGCCUAACACAUGCAAGUCGAACGGAUCCUUCGGGAUUAGUGGCGGACGGGUGAGUAACGCGUGGGAACAUACCCUUUGGUACGGAAUAGCCUCGGGAAACUGGGAGUAAUACCGUAUGUGGUCGAGAGACGAAAGAUUUAUCGCCAAAGGAUUGGCCCGCGUUGGAUUAGGUAGUUGGUGGGGUAAUGGCCUACCAAGCCGACGAUCCAUAGCUGGUCUGAGAGGAUGAUCAGCCACACUGGGACUGAGACACGGCCCAGGCUCCUACGGGAGGCAGCAGUGGGGAAUCUUAGACAAUGGGGGAAACCCUGAUCUAGCCAUGCCGCGUGAUCGAUGAAGGCCUUAGGGUUGUAAAGAUCUUUCAGGUGGGAAGAUAAUGACUGUACCACCAGAAGAAGCCCCGGCUAACUCCGUGCCAGCAGCCGCCGCCGUAA